ensembl:lncRNA
GUGUUGGAAACAGAAGGUUCAAAAAUGUGCUGUCUCUGGUCUUUGUAGCCACAGACCAAGGUUGGAUGACAAUCCUCGUGUGAUGGUUCUUACUGAGACAUGGCUUCCCAAGUGGUGUUAGUGGUAAAGAACCCGCCUGCCAAUGCAGGAGAUGUAAGAGACAUGGAUUCGAUCCCCGGGUCAGAAAGAUCCCCUGGAUAAGGAAAUGGCAACCUAUUCCAGUAUUCUUGCCUGGAGAAACCCAUGGACAGAGAAGCCUGGUGGGCUACAGUCCAUGGGGUCACAAAGAGUUGACACAACCAAAGUGAGUUAGCAUGCACACGUGCUUCCUUAUGGGCGUCCCUGAUAACUCAUCUGUUAAAGAAUCCGCCUGAAAUGAGGGAGACCUGGAUUCAAUUCCUGGGUUGGGACGAUCCCCUGGAGAAGGGUCCCUUGAGAGUCCCUUGGACUUUAAGGAGAUCAAACCAGUCAAUCCUCAAGGAAAUCAGUCCCUUCAUUAGAAGGAUGCUGAAGCUGAAACUCCAAUACUUUGGCCACCUGAUGUGAAGAACUUACUCAUUGGAAAAGACCCUGAUGCUGGGAAAGAUUGAAACAGGAGGAGAAGGGGACGACAGAGGAUGGGAUGGUUGGAUGGCAUCACUGACUUGAUGGACAUGAGUUUGAGCAAGUUCUGGGAGUUGGUGAUGGACAGGGAAGCCUUGCGUGCUGCAGUCCAUGGGGUCUCAAAGAAUUGGACACGACUGAGUGACUGAACUGAACUGAUGCUUUCUUAUGCCCACACUCCUUCUAGUUAUUUCCAGUUGCACUGUAGAACAUGAGGGUUGGAAAGGAUUUGAGGGAUCAUCAAGUCCAUUUGUUGGAUUGCUUCUAGACGAUCUCUGACAUGGUCCAUCUGUCCUAUCCUUGAAUGAUACUACAGAUAGGGGCUCACAGUUAUGUAAAGGAGGAUGCUUAGAAGUUGGUCCAGUCUUUCUGAUUGUUAGAAGCAUGGGAUCUGCCUUCCUGUGUCUGUGCUCAAUAUUCCUUCAACAAAUGUAUCCUG